GGCACCAAGCAAGAAUAGAUAUAAACAAUAGAAGAAGAGUGAAGGGAAAGAAGGAAGGAGAGGGUAUGCAGAAAAUAAAUGGGAGUAGUUCCAAGAAUGGUGAGAUAGCUCAACAACCACACACCUCUGCAAGUAAGUUGGAGAGAAAGACCUUUCUAAUAAGGAACUUAAUUAAUGGAGAAAUCCUUUUCAAAUUGUAGUGGUUUUGAGAUUGGUAGUUAGAUAUUUAUUUGCAUAUCUUCUUUAAUGACAUCUCUCUCCGUGCUCUUCUGGUUAGCUAAGCAGCCCUUAUUUGGAUUGGACAAAUAUCUAUCUCCAUGCUAAACAGAAUUCCAUCUCCGACUUAGUUCUUCCAUCUAGCUUUUGCUUCUUUUUUUUUUUUUUUUUUGCAGGUAUGAAUGAAUAUAAUUUGCCAAUGCCUGAACCUUUUUUACUCCUAAAUGUUACUCUAAUCACCAUUUUCCCUUUUUGAAGCAUUUUCAUGUUAACUUCAUUGAAUUUUGAAUCUUGUAUUGGAAGGAUGUCAUUACUAUUGGUGAUGUCACUCUUUUCGUAGGACUACUGUGCAUAUGCCUGAAACAAAGUUGGGACCAUGGGCUAUAAAACAAGUUGCUUAUUUUGGGUUUUGUUUAUCCUUCCACGGAGACUCAAAACAGAGACGACAGAGCCCAACCUUUCCUUUCUCGGUUAGCCUUUCUCUUAAUUACACACGAUCAAAUCAAGGAUUGUUAUGUCUCUCCUCUUCUCCCUUUCUUGUUAAUCUGAAUACUACUUUUUCUCAUCGUAGAAUAUUAUUGUUCGAAAACAUAUACUUUCGUAAAAUUAUAUACGAGUCCAUAAAUAUUUUUGUAACAAUUUAGUUUAUACCUCAAAAUUUGCAACAAUUUAACCUCCAAAUUCUAGCGUUUGUAGUGGAAUCAAUUUGAAACUAAGGAUUUACUUUUUAUGGUAAAAACUAUUUGUAAAAUAUAAUGAAAUUUCUUACAUUAGAGACAUAAAGUAUAAACAAAGUUAUAUAAUACAAAAUGACACCCAACUACGAUGAGAUUUUUCACAACACAGAUUAAAUAUUACAAAUUUAAAUUAAAUAGAUUGAAUUUAUACUUGUUAAAAUUAAUAAACUAAAUUGUUAAUUUAGAAGUCCAUGGAUUGAAUUUCAUGAAAGUUGGAUUUGAUAGAUAACCAUUUUGUUAAUAAAAGUAGGGUUGGGUUUUGACAACGAUUCCAACUCCCUUCCAUUGUUCCUUUUAUGUUCGUUGACUCUUGGAUCCAGUUUACUCUAUGCUAAGGAAGGCAGACUCUUAUCUCAUUUCAUUUUAGUUUCUUAAACUAUCCUUGACUGAACUACCUCCAGAUUCUCUCUUUAAUCAUCGUGCUAUGCUAUGAAAGGUGUUUAGGUCAAGAAGUGAGUUAUUAUAAUCUUUUAGGUUAUUUUAGUUUGAGUUAUAGUAAUGUGUUUGGUAUGUAUGGUUUUAGUUUGAUAAAAAAUAGUAAACUCUGCCUAAUAAAAAAAAUUUGAAGAAUGUUAAAUAGUAAAUACUAUAACAAAUUGAGAGUUUUGAAAUAGUGUUUAAUGUAGUUAAUUGAAAGCUUUUAAAUAGUAUUUAUUAUACUAAGGAUGAUUACCUCAAAGGUUCCUAUAUUUUUGUAUGCUUUCUUUUCCUAUUAUUCUUAAACUUCUAGACUCCUCCAUUCAUCCCUGAAUUUUGAAUCCAUAUUUUCAGGUAAAAUAGUAGUGAAUGUGAACAAAUAAAUACUUUACAGAUGUGCAGUAGAAACCUUAAUGGAGUGCUAUUAAUAUUGGUUAUUGUUAAUUAAUUACUAUUAAAGAGAUGUAAUUAAUUAUAGUAUUAAGUGACCCAACUUGUCUAAUUUGACCUUGACGAAGGAAUUAAUGCGACAUCUUUUGCACAUAAAGUUAAUGGGAGAAAAUUCCUUACUUGUAAGUUUGGUAAAUACUUGAAGACCUGGGCUUUAAAUGAGCAAAUUUAGUGCAUGUUUUGAUUGAUUUUUAAUGUGUCUAGAAGUAGAAAAAAAAGUUUAUAAACACUUGAAAAGUAAAUCAAAAGCACCUCAGAGAGAAAUUGAGAAAUUGUGAUUAUUUGUAUUUGAAUAAUUUGAAUUAUGCAACAGCAUUAAUCUUGAAUGAAAUCACUUCUCUUAUUACAGUUUUUGAUUAUUUGUACAAUUACAAUGUAUUUAAUGAGUUUUGAGAAACAAGAAAAGGUACAAAUUUUCUUAGACUUCUCUAAUAUGUGUAGUUCUUUGCUUCGGCAUCAAUGAUUGUGACGACAGGAUGGAAAUACUUGCAAUGCAUCUCAGGAAUCAACUUCAUAACACCGGCGUUAUGAAGAGGAGAGAUUUCAGCUUCCUUCUACGGUAUUUUCAUCAGUUCUCCACACUAUGUCUUUUAAUCCGGAUGAGAAACUCUUAUAGAACUGCCACAUGCAAAUGAAAAAGCACAUUAAUAUAUACAG
rnacentral:lncRNA from 1 species